rnacentral:tRNA from 1 species
AAGGGUAUAGUUCAGUGGUAGGGUGCUUGCUUAGCAUGCACAAGGUCCUGGGUUCAAUCCCCAGUACCUCCA